AUUGAACGCUGGCGGAAUGCUUUACACAUGCAAGUCGAACGGCAGCACGGACUUCGGUCUGGUGGCGAGUGGCGAACGGGUGAGUAAUGUAUCGGAACGUGCCCAGUCGUGGGGGAUAACGUAGUGAAAAUUACGCUAAUACCGCAUACGAUCUAUGGAUGACAGCGGGGGAUCGAAAGACCUAGCGCGAUUGGAGCGGCCGAUAUCAGAUUAGGUAGUUGGUGGGGUAAAGGCCCACCAAGCCAACGAUCUGUAGAUGGUCUGAGAGGACGACCAGCCACACUGGAACUGAGACACGGUCCAGACUCCUACGGGAGGCAGCAGUGGGGAAUUUUGGACAAUGGGCGAAAGCCUGAUCCAGCCAUUCCGCGUGCAGGAUGAAGGCCCUCGGGUUGUAAACUGCUUUUGUACAGAACGAAAAGGUUUCUACUAAUACUAGGAGCUCAUGACGGUACUGUAAGAAUAAGCACCGGCUAACUACGUGCCAGCCGCCGCCGUAA
rnacentral:rRNA from 1 species